rnacentral:rRNA from 1 species
GAUGAACGCUGGCGGCGUGCCUAAUACAUGCAAGUCGAGCGAACAGACGAGGAGCUUGCUCCUCUGACGUUGGCGGCGGACGGGUGAGUAACACGUGGAUAACCUACCUAUAAGACUGGGAUAACUUCGGGAAACCGGAGCUAAUACCGGAUAAUAUAUUGAACCGCAUGGUUCAAUAGUGAAAGACGGUUUUGCUGUCACUUAUAGAUGGAUCCGCGCCGCAUUAGCUAGUUGGUAAGGUAACGGCUUACCAAGGCAACGAUGCGUAGCCGACCUGAGAGGGUGAUCGGCCACACUGGAACUGAGACACGGUCCAGACUCUUACGGGAGGCAGCAGUAGGGAAUCUUCCGCAAUGGGCGAAAGCCUGACGGAGCAACGCCGCGUGAGUGAUGAAGGUCUUCGGAUCGUAAAACUCUGUUAUUAGGGAAGAACAAAUGUGUAAGUAACUAUGCACGUCUUGACGGUACCUAAUCAGAAAGCCACGGCUAACUACGUG